CUUCACCGAGCCCAGCCACAGCGGCCGGUCGCGGUCCUGUCCAUAAGUGGCGAGGAUGGCCUGCGCCUC
rfam:Streptomyces violaceusniger Tu 4113, complete genome.